GACCUCUGUAGUUUGAGAGCACCCCUGCUUUUUGCCCCAGCCCUGGGUCUCUGGUCUGUCCUUCUGCUGGAGAGGCCGUGCUGAUGGUCAGUCAGUUCAUGGUUUAAUUUUCCAUAACUGAAAAGAGAUUCUGAGGAGCCCAAGGAUGCUAGGCGUAGUAAAAAGAGAAGAAGUGCUGCCUCCCAGAUUAAGAACUCCCAGUUGUAAGCUGCAUUCAGAAAUGUUUUGUGACCCUUCAGGACCUGUAUUGGCAAGAAAAAAGAAUUACAAUCAGUCACAACUAACAUGCCUGUUCUUUGGGAAGGUGCAGAAGCCUUGCCCUUACACCUCUUCUGAAAGCUACCACGUUCCAUAGCAGCUGACACUUUUGCCCUUGAAGUGGAAUUCAUUCCUGUAGCUAGGUUCAAGUAAAAAGCCUUGUUUAUAACCUG